rnacentral:rRNA from 1 species
UACGAAGGGUGCAAGCGUUACUCGGAAUUACUGGGCGUAAAGGGCGCGUAGGCGGCGAUGUUAGUCAGGCGUGAAAGCCCUGGGCUCAACCUGGGGACUGCGCUUGAUACGGCAUGGCUAGAGGAUGGAAGAGGGUCGCGGAAUUCCCAGUGUAGAGGUGAAAUUCGUAGAUAUUGGGAAGAACACCGGUGGCGAAGGCGGCGACCUGGUCCAUUACUGACGCUGAGGCGCGACAGCGUGGGGAGCAAACAGG